AUUGAACGCUGGCGGCAUGCCUAACACAUGCAAGUCGAACGGCCGCACGGGUACUUUCCCCUGGUGGCGAGUGCCGCACGGGUGUGUGUUACAUCUGGACAUGUCCUGUAUUAGGGGAUAGCCCCGCGAAAGCCGGAUUAAUACCGCCUACGAUCUACUGAUGACACCGGGUUCCCUUCUGACCUCCCGCUUUGCGGUUGGCCGUUGGCUGAUCCGCGCCUGAGUAGGUAGUAGGUCUGGUAACGGCCUACCAAGGCGACGAUGAGUAGCCGCCCUGAGAGGACGACCAGCCACACUGGGACUGAGACACGGUCCAGACUCCUACGGGAGGCAGCAGUAGGGAAUCUUGGGCAAUGGGCGAAAGCCUGACCGAGCAAUGCCGCGUGUGUGAAGAAGGCCUUCGGGUUGUAAAGCACUUUUGUCAGGAAAGAAAACCUGGGUAAGAAAACGGGCGGGGGAUGACGGUACCGGAAGAAUAAGCACCGGCUAACUACGUG
rnacentral:rRNA from 1 species